rnacentral:rRNA from 1 species
ACGGAAGGCAGCAGUGGGGAAUAUUGGGCAAUGGGCGCAAGCCUGACCCAGCAACGCCGCGUGAAGGAAGAAGGCUUUCGGGUUGUAAACUUCUUUUAUCAGGGACGAAAAUAAUGACGGUACCUGAAGAAUAAGCCACGGCUAACUACGUGCCAGCAGCCGCGGUAAUACGUAGGUGGCAAGCGUUGUCCGGAUUUACUGGGUGUAAAGGGCGCGUAGGCGGGGAAGCAAGUCAGGUGUGAAAUCUAUGGGCUUAACCCAUAAACUGCACUUGAAACUGUUUUUCUUGAGUGUCGGAGAGGUAGAUGGAAUUCCUAGUGUAGCGGUGAAAUGCGUAGAUAUUAGGAGGAACACCAGUGGCGAAGGCGAUCUACUGGACGAUACCUGACGCUGAGACACGAAAGUGUGGGGAGCAAACAGGAUUAGAUACCCUGGUA